rnacentral:ribozyme from 14 species
UGUCACACAAAGAAAAAAAAGAGCCCUAGGAUAAGGGAUCACUAGAUUAUAAGCACAUGCACACUUUUUAUGUUGUUGUUGAUUUUUUAAUUUUCAUUGUUUUUUG